rnacentral:tRNA from 1 species
GCCCGGGUAGCUCAGUAGGUAGAGCAGGGGACUGAAAAUCCCCGUGUCGGUGGUUCGAUUCCGCCCCCGGGCA